UACGGAGGGUGCAAGCGUUAAUCGGAAUUACUGGGCGUAAAGGGUGCGUAGGUGGUUUAAUAAGUUAUGUGUGAAAGCCCAGGGCUCAACUUUGGGAUGUCAGAUAAGACUGUUAGACUAGAGUAUGGGAGAGGGUAGUGGAAUUUCCGGUGUAGCGGUGAAAUGCGUAGAGAUCGGAAGGAACACCAGUGGCGAAGGCGGCUACCUGGCCUAAUACUGACACUGAGGCACGAAAGCGUGGGGAGCAAACAGGAUUAGAUACCCUGGUAGUCCACGCUGUAAACGAUGUCAACUAGCUGUUGGCCAUAUAAAGAUGGUGAGUGGCGAAGCAAACGCGAUAAGUUGACCGCCUGGGGAGUACGGUCGCAAGAUUAAA
rnacentral:rRNA from 1 species